rnacentral:rRNA from 1 species
AAUGACUGUACCCGAAUAAGAAGGUCCGGCUAACUUCGUGCCAGCAGCCGCGGUAAUACGAAGGGACCUAGCGUAGUUCGGAAUUACUGGGCUUAAAGAGUUCGUAGGUUGUUAAAAAAGUUGGUGGUGAAAUCCCAGAGCUUAACUCUGGAACUGCCAUCAAAACUUUUUAGCUAGAGUUUGAUAGAGGAAAGCAGAAUUUCUAGUGUAGAGGUGAAAUUCGUAGAUAUUAGAAAGAAUACCAAUUGCGAAGGCAGCUUUCUGGAUCAUUACUGACACUGAGGAACGAAAGCAUGGGUAGCGAAGAGGAUUAGAUACCCUCGUAGUCCAUGCCGUAAACGAUGUGUGUUAGACGUUGGAAAUUUAUUUUCAGUGUCGCAGCGAAAGCAAUAAACACACCGCCUGGGGAGUACGACCGCAAGGUUAAAACUCAAAUGAAUUGACGGGGACCCGCACAAGUAGUGGAGCAUGUGGUUUAAUUCGAAGAUACGCGCAGAACCUUACCAACACUUGACAUGUUCGUCGCGACUUUAAGAGAUUAAAGUUUUCGGUUCGGCCGGACGAAACACAGGUGCUGCAUGGCUGUCGUCAGCUCGUGUCGUGAGAUGUUGGGUUAAGUCCCGCAACGAGCGCAACCCUCACUUUUAGUUGCCAUCAUUUAGUUGGGCACUCUGAAAGAACUGCCAGUGAUAAGCUGGAGGAAGGUGGGGAUGACGUCAAGUCCUCAUGGCCCUUACGUGUUGGGCUACACACGUGCUACAAUGGCAUUUACAACAGGAAGCAAAACGGCGACGUUAAGCAAAUCCUAAAAAAAUGCCUCAGUUCGGAUUGUACUCUGCAACUCGAGUACAUGAAGCUGGAAUUACUAGUAAUCGCGGAUCAGCGCGCCGCGGUGAAUACGUUCCCGGGUCUUGUACACACCGCCCGUCACACCAUGGGAGUUGGUUCUACCUUAAGGCAAAGGUUAAAAACUUUGACCACGGUAUAGUCAGCGACUGGGGUGAAGUCAUAACAAGGUAGCCGUA